CCUACGGGAGGCAGCAGUGGGGAAUAUUGCGCAAUGGGCGAAAGCCUGACGCAGCGACGCCGCGUGAGGGAUGAAGGUCUUCGGAUCGUAAACCUCUGUCAGCAGGGACGAAAGGUCACUGUGCUAAUCAGCAGUGAAUUGACGGUACCUGCAAAGGAAGCACCGGCUAACUCCGUGCCAGCAGCCGCGGUAAUACGGAGGGUGCGAGCGUUAAUCGGAAUUACUGGGCGUAAAGCGCUCGUAGGCGGUAUGUCAAGUCAAGGGUGAAAUCCCCGCGCUAAACGUGGGACUUGCCUUUGAGACUGUGAAACUGGAGUGUGUGAGAGGAUAGUGGAAUUCCAGGUGGAGGAGUGAAAGCCGUAGAUAUCUGGAGGAACAUCAGUGGCGAAGGCGACUAUCUGGCACAUAACUGACGCUGAGGAGCGAAAGCGUGGGUAGCAAACAGGAUUAGAUACCCCUGUAGUC
rnacentral:rRNA from 1 species